AAACAUAAGCAGUUGAAGUCAGUAUGGUGGCUCCAAAGAUAUGGAAAGCCAGCCUCCUUUCAAUGUUUUGCACCAUUAAGUUCAAUGCACAGCUUCUACCUUGUGAUACAGAGAGAGGGAAAGAGUGAACAAGCACAAGCAGGCAGAGACAGAAGCAGUCU